AGCAGCCGCGGUAAUUCCAGCUCCAAUAGCGUAUAUUAAAGUUGUUGCAGUUAAAAAGCUCGUAGUUGAAUUUCGGGGUCAGCAGGUCGGUCGUGCCUACGGUAUGCACUGGCCUUGCUGAUUCCUCCCUCUUGAUGAGCCGUAAUGCCAUUAAUUUGGUGUUGCGGGGAAUCAGGACUGUUACUUUGAAAAAAUUAGAGUGUUUAAAGCAGGCAAGCGCUUGAAUACAUUAGCAUGGAAUAAUGAAAUAGGACGUUCGAUCCUAUUUUGUUGGUUUCUAGGAUUGACGUAAUGAUUAAUAGGGAUAGUUGGGGGCAUUAGUAUUCAAUUGUCAGGGGUGAAAUUCUUGGAUUUAUUGAAGACUAACUACUGCGAAAGCAUUUGCCAAGGAUGUUUUCAUUAAUCAAGAACGAAAGUUAGGGGAUCGAAGACGAUCAGAUACCGUCGUAGUCUUAACCAUAAACUAUGCCGACUAGGGAUCGGAUGAUGUUAAUUUUUAAUGACUCAUUCGGCGCCUUAA
rnacentral:rRNA from 1 species